UGCCCCUCCUCCCUGGUUUGAGGAAGCAGGAAAAGGUACCCGCGAGAGACAGCCAGCAGUUCUGUGGAGCAGCGGUGGCCGGCUAGGAUGGGCUCUCUCUGGGGUCUGGCUCUGCCCCUUUUCUUCUUCUGCUGGGAGGUUGGGGUCUCUGGGAGCUCUGCAGGCCCCAGCACCCGCAGAGCAGACACUGCGAUGACAACGGACGACACAGAAGUGCCCGCUAUGACUCCAGCACCGGGCCACGCCGCUCUGGAAGCUCAAACGCUGAGCGCUGAGACCUCUUCUAGGGCCUCAACCCCAGUCGGCCCCAUUCCAGAAGCAGAGACCAGGGGAGCCAAGAGAAUUUCCCCUGCAAGAGAGACCAGGAGUUUCACAAAAACAUCUCCCAACUUCGUGGUGCUGAUCACCACCUCUGUGGAGACAUCAGCCGCCAGUGGCAGCCCCGAGGGAGCUGGAAUGACCACAGUUCAGACCAUCACAGGCAGUGAUCCCGAGGAAGCCAUCUUUGACACCCUUUGCACCGAUGACAGCUCUGAAGAGGCAAAGACACUCACAAUGGACAUAUUGACAUUGGCUCACACCUCCACAGAAGCUAAGGGCCUGUCCUCAGAGAGCAGCGCCUCUUCCGACGGCCCCCAUCCAGUCAUCACCCCCUCACGGGCCUCAGAGAGCGGCGCCUCUUCCGACGGCCCCCAUCCAGUCAUCACCCUGUCACGGGCCUCAGAGAGCGGCGCCUCUUCCGACGGCCCCCAUCCAGUCAUCACCCUGUCACGGGCCUCAGAAAGCGGCGCCUCUUCUGACGGCCCCCAUCCAGUCAUCACCCCCUCAUGGUCCCCGGGAUCUGAUGUCACUCUCCUCGCUGAAGCCCUGGUGACUGUCACCCACAUUGAGGUUAUCAAUUGCAGCAUCACAGAAAUAGAAACAAUGACUUCCAGCAUCCCUGGGGCCUCAGACACAGAUCUCAUCCCCACGGAAGGGGUGAAGGCCUCGUCCACCUCCGAUCCACCAGCUCUGCCUGACUCCACUGAUGCAAAACCACACAUCACUGAGGCCACAGCCUCUGCCGAGACCCUGUCCACAGCCGGCACCACAGAGUCAGCCGCACCUGAUGCCACGGUUGGGACCCCACUCCCCACCAACAGCGCCAUAGAAAGAGAAGUGACAGCACCCAGGGCCACGACCCUCAGUGGAGCUCUGGCCACAGGGAAUCCCCUGGAAGAAACCUCAGCCCUCUCUGUUGAGACACCAAGUUACGUGAAAGUCUCAGGAGCAGCUCCGGUCUCCAUAGAGGCUGGGUCAGCAGUGGGCAAAACAACUUCCUUUGCUGGGAGCUCCGCUUCCUCCUACAGCCCCUCGGAAGCCGCCCUCAAGAACUUCACCCCUUCAGAGACACUGACCACGGACAUCGCAACCAAGGGGCCCUUCCCCACCAGCAGGGACCCUCUUCCUUCUGUCCCUCCGACUACAACCAACAGCAGCCGAGGGACGAACAGCACCUUAGCCAAGACCACAACCUCAGCGAAGACCACGAUGAAGCGCCCAACAGCCACGCCCACGACUGCCCGGACGAGGCCGACCACAGACGUGAGCGCAGGUGAAAAUGGAGGUUUCCUCCUCCUGCGGCUGAGUGUGGCUUCCCUGGAAGACCUCACUGACCCCAGAGUGGCAGAAAGGCUGAUGCAGCAGGUGAGUGGGCACUUAUCGGGCCAGGGGAGUAGAGGAAGGGGUGAGGUUCGCAGGGGCUGCAGGGAAGACCCGCAGGACACAGAAGAGCAGCUACCGCACUUGGAAGGGAGUCUCGUUUCUUAUGGAGAAUUAGGAGCUGAAUCUGAGGAUCUCUGCCUGGCUUUGCUUCUGCCUGCCUUCUCCGAGUUCUUCAUUUCCUUCUCUGCAAUGUAAACAUGUGACUCCUGGAGCCCCCAAUUUCUUCUGGUCCUUGGAAGCUUGGCCUUCUGGCCCCUGAGGCAAAGCUCCACCGGGAACUCCACGCCCACGCGCCUCACUUCCAGGUCUCCUUACUGCGUGUCAGGAGAGGCUAAUGGACAUCAGCUGCAGCCAGGCAUGUCCCGUAUGCCAAAAGAGGGUGCUGCCCCUAGCCUGGGCCCCCACCGACAGACUGCAGCUGCGUUACUGUGCUGAGAGGUACCCAGAAGGUUCCCAUGAAGGGCAGCAGGUCCAAGCCCCUGACCCCAGAUGUGGCAACAGGACCCUCGCUCACAUCCACCGGAGUGUAUGUGUGGGGAGGGGCUUCACCUGUUCCCAGAGGUGUCCUUGGACUCACCUUGGCACAUGUUCUGUGUUUCAGUAAAGAGAGACCUGAUCACCCAUCUGUGUGCUUCCAUCCUGCAUUAAAAUUCAUUCAGUGUGGCCCAGA